rnacentral:rRNA from 1 species
AUUGAACGCUGGCGGCAUGCCUUACACAUGCAAGUCGAACGGGAACAGGUCUUCGGAUGCUGACGAAUGGCGAACGGGUGAGUAAUACAUCGGAACGUGCCUAGUAGUGGGGGAUAACUACUCGAAAGAGUGGCUAAUACCGCAUGAGAUCUACGGAUGAAAGCAGGGGAUCGCAAGACCUUGUGCUACUAGAGCGGCCGAUGGCAGAUUAGGUAGUUGGUGGGAUAAAAGCUUACCAAGCCGACGAUCUGUAGCGGGUCUGAGAGGACGAUCAGCCACACUGGGACUGGGACACGGGCCAGACUCCUACGGGAGGCAGCAGUGGGGAAUUUUGGACAAUGGGAGCAAGCCUGAUCCAGCAAUGCCGGGUGCAGGAUGAAGGCCUUCGGGUUGUAAACUGCUUUUGUACGGAACGAAAAGCCCUGGGUUAAUACCCUGGGGUCAUGACGGUACCGUAAGAAUAAGCACCGGCUAACUACGUGCCAGCCGCCGCCGUAAUAC